rnacentral:rRNA from 1 species
AGCGUAGACGGUGUGGCAAGUCUGAUGUGAAAGGCAUGGGCUCAACCUGUGGACUGCAUUGGAAACUGUCAUACUUGAGUGCCGGAGGGGUAAGCGGAAUUCCUAGUGUAGCGGUGAAAUGCGUAGAUAUUAGGAGGAACACCAGUGGCGAAGGCGGCUUACUGGACGGUAACUGACACUGAGGCACGAAAGCGUGGAAGCAAACA